rnacentral:rRNA from 1 species
UACAGAGGUGGCAAGCGUUGUUCGGAAUUACUGGGCGUAAAGGGCGCGUAGGCGGCCUUCUAAGUCAGACGUGAAAUCCCCCGGCUUAACCUGGGAACUGCGUCUGAUACUGGAGGGCUUGAGUGCGGGAGAGGGAUGUGGAAUUCCAGGUGUAGCGGUGAAAUGCGUAGAUAUCAGGAGGAACACCUAUAGCGAAGGCAGCUUGCUGGGACGUUACUGACGCUAAGGCGCGAAAGCGUGGGGAGCAAACAGG